rnacentral:rRNA from 1 species
UACGUAGGAGGCAAGCGUUGUCCGGAAUUACUGGGCGUAAAGCGCGUGUAGGUGGUGGGACAAGUCUGCUGUGAAAGCGCCUGGCUUAACCGGGCGAGGUCGGCGGAAACUGUCCGACUCGAGGACGGUGGAGGGGGGUGGAAUUCCCGGUGUAGUGGUGAAAUGCGUAGAGAUCGGGAGGAACACCUGUGGCGAAGGCGGCCCCCUGGGCCGGCCCUGACACUGAGACGCGAAGGCGUGGGGAGCGAACGGG